UUUACCUGGAGCAGACUAGAUGACUGCACAGAGAUUUGAGAUGAUUCAGAAAGGGUGAAGGUCCAAGGCAGGUGGAGAGCCAGCCUACGUGGCUGUACUGAUGUCCUAGACUGUGGAGUGUUGCUCUCUUUACAGGAAGAGUCGUCAAACGGCUCUUAUUAAACCCAUAAUUUGUGACUCUUGUAUGCCUGAAUGUAAUGCAAAUCUGCUGUUCUUCUUGUUUGAAAUUACUGACAACAGAAGACAGAAUGGAAGUUCAAGGAAAUGGUUAUAAUAAGCACCACCUCAGAGCCUCAUGCUGACUUCAAUUUUCUUAUGUCUUUCCCUGCUUUGAACUCUCUAACUUCUGUCCCAGCAAUUUAACACUUGUGUUUUGUGUUAGGUGAACUCUUUAUAUAAAAAAAGUCUGAAAUUGCAUGUUUGGUAGUAACUGUUAAUUCAGUUGAGACUGAAGUCAUCAAUACAAGAGAUUUUAGUAGUGCUUACAGUUGUGAUGCAGCUCAUUGAAAGGGAAAUAAAGUAAGGGUAAAUAUUAAUGUCUUCCAUCCAGGAUUUGCAUUAGCUACAAGGCUUGUUCUAUGCUAAGGAUGAGAGAACUUGAGUAUUUGGUUUGUAUUUGAGAGCCCAGUGGGUCAACUGCUGAAAACAAUAAAGGUGACUUUAAUUCAGCCCAUCAACACAAUUAAUUGUUGAUAAUACAUCUUUGUGGAGUUAGUGGUCCAAAGUACUUCAGAGAUCACCUGCUGAGGUUCCUGAGUUUUAGGUUGCACUUUAGGGAUGGUGCUGGUGGGGUAUUUUUUUGUUGGCGAUGGUUUUUGGUUUGUUUUUUUUUGGGGUGGAGGUGGAUGUGUUUGGGUUUUUUGUUGUUGUUGUUGUUUUGUUUCUAACCCUAUGUGUUACUUUGGGUUUCAUGUAUCUUGGUGGAUUGUUUACUAAAACGUGGGAGAGAAAAAAAAAAAGAGCAUGUGGAAGAACUGUGUCCAUACAGGAAUAUGGUUGGAAAGAAAGGUACAACAAACCGGCUUCUGAUUCCUGUCUUUGAGGUGUUGGAUGGUGCCUUUCAGUGUCACUUUUGAUGGCUAACAGUUCUUCCUAGCAACUUCUGGGAUACAAAAGCCUCCUGCAGACUACCACCUAUGAGCAGCUACAGCAGCAGAGUAUUUAUGCCUGUUAAACCAGAAGUUCUGCCUGUUGUUUUUCCUGCCUUCAUCACUUUCCACUGCUAUAGUCCAGCUAUGUUAUACCAGGACAUUAAACAUUCCGCAAACAGAA